GAUCCUGGCUCAGGAUGAACGCUGGCGGCGUGCCUAAUACACGCAAGUCGAACGCUUUGUGGUUCAACUGAUUUGAAGAGCUUGCUCAGAUAUGACGAUGAACAUUGCAAAGAGUGGCGAACGGGUGAGUAACACGUGGGAAACCUACCUCUUAGCAGGGGAUAACAUUUGGAAACAGAUGCUAAUACCGUAUAACAAUAGCAACCGCAUGGUUGCUACUUAAAAGAUGGUUCUG
rnacentral:rRNA from 1 species